UGGGGAAUAUUGCACAAUGGGCGAAAGCCUGAUGCAGCGACGCCGCGUGAGGGAUGACGGCCUUCGGGUUGUAAACCUCUUUCAGCAGGGAAGAAGCGCAAGUGACGGUACCUGCAGAAGAAGCACCGGCUAACUACGUGCCAGCAGCCGCGGUAAUACGUAGGGUGCGAGCGUUGUCCGGAAUUAUUGGGCGUAAAGAGCUUGUAGGCGGUUUGUCGCGUCUGCUGUGAAAAUCCGGGGCUCAACUCCGGACUUGCAGUGGGUACGGGCAGGCUAGAGUGUGGUAGGGGAGACUGGAAUUCCUGGUGUAGCGGUGGAAUGCGCAGAUAUCAGGAGGAACACCGAUGGCGAAGGCAGGUCUCUGGGCCACUACUGACGCUGAGAAGCGAAAGCAUGGGGAGCGAACAGGAUUAGAUACCCUGGUAGUCCAUGCCGUAAACGUUGGGCGCUAGGUGUGGGACUCAUUCCACGAGUUCCGUGCCGCAGCUAACGCAUUAAGCGCCCCGCCUGGGGAGUACGGCCGCAAGGCUAA
rnacentral:rRNA from 1 species